GAUGAACGCUGGCGGCGUGCCUAAUACAUGCAAGUCGAGCGAACGGACGAGAAGCUUGCUUCUCUGAUGUUAGCGGCGGACGGGUGAGUAACACGUGGAUAACCUACCUAUAAGACUGGGAUAACUUCGGGAAACCGGAGCUAAUACCGGAUAAUAUUUUGAACCGCAUGGUUCAAAAGUGAAAGACGGUCUUGCUGUCACUUAUAGAUGGAUCAGCGCUGCAUUAGCAAGUUGGUAAGGUAACGGCUUACCAAGGCAACGAUGCAUAGCCGACCUGAGAGGGUGAUCGGCCACACUGGAACUGAGACACGGUCCAGAGUCCUAAGGGAGGCAGCAGUAGGGAAUCUUCCGCAAUGGGCGAAAGCCUGACGGAGCAACGCCGCGUGAGUGAUGAAGGUCUUCGGAUCGUAAAACUCUGUUAUUAGGGAAGAACAUAUGUGUAAGUAACUGUGCACAUCUUGACGGUGCCUAAUCAGAAAGCCACGGCUAACUACGUG
rnacentral:rRNA from 1 species